UCCUACGGGCGGCUGCAGUCGAGAAUCUUUUGCAAUGGGCGAAAGCCUGACAAAGCGACGCCGUGUGAGCGAUGAAGGCCUUCGGGUUGUAAAGCUCUUUCGCCAGGGAACAAGGAAGGGAAACGAAUAGUUUCUUAACUUGAGGGUACCUGGUAAAGAAGUACCGGCUAACUCCGUGCCAGCAGCUGCGGUAAUACGGAGGGUACAAGCAUUAAUCGGAUUUACUGGGCGUAAAGGGUGCGUAGGCGGAUGGGAAAGUCAGAUGUGAAAUUCCGGUACUCAAUACCGGAGCUGCAUUUGAAACUCCCUUUCUGGAGGGUAGACGGAGAGAACGGAAUUCCAUGUGUAGCGGUGAAAUGCGUAGAUAUAUGGAAGAACACCUGUGGCGUAAGCGGUUCUCUAGUUUAUUUCUGACGCUGAGGCACGAGAGUGUGGGGAGCAAACAGGAUUAGAUACCCCUGUAGUC
rnacentral:rRNA from 1 species